GACGAACGCUGGCGGCGUGCUUAACACAUGCAAGUCGAACGGUGAAGGGGUCUGCUUUUGUGGGCCCUGGAUGAGUGGCGAACGGGUGAGUAACACGUGAGUAACCUGCCCCCUUCUUCUGGAUAACCGCAUGAAAGUGUGGCUAAUACGGGAUAUUCUGGGUCUGUCGCAUGAUGGGUCUGGGAAAGAUUGCGCCUUUGGGUGUUUUUGGUGGGGGAUGGGCUCGCGGCCUAUCAGCUUGUUGGUGGGGUGAUGGCCUACCAAGGCGGUGACGGGUAGCCGGCCGGAGAGGGUGGACGGUCACACUGGGACUGAGACACGGCCCAGACUCCUACGGGAGGCAGCAGUGGGGAAUAUUGCACAAUGGGCGCAAGCCUGAUGCAGCGACGCCGCGUGAGGGAGGGAGGCCUUCGGGUUGUAAACCUCUUUCGCCAGUGAAGCAGGCCUGCUCCUUGUGGGUGGGUUGACGGUAGCUGGAUAAGAAGCGCCGGCUAACUACGUG
rnacentral:rRNA from 1 species